CAAAAAAAAACUAAAUUAAAAUCGGUUCAUUAGUUUAGGAGCUACGAUGCCACAGACAGAUACACAGAUACACAGAUCUAACUUAUAACACCCCUCUUUUUGGGUUGGGGAUUAAAAAGAUUUUAGUCUUUAUGGGUGAACCGUACUAUUGAAAUGACUGUUGAUAUUUAUAGAGCAAAAAUAUGGCGAGUGAGUUCUGAAAAUGUAUGCAUUAUCUGUGACAGAAAUUUGUAUAAGGCACUUGUCCCACCGCCGACGAAGAAGCAAAUACCUAUCGACUAUCAAUAUUUUCUCGCUUAAGAAACGUACAAUCGAUGUAUGAUUACGUGUCAAUAAAAGAGAUAAAUAGAUCGCUGACUCUGCACACUGUUCAUGUCGGUGAGGAUUAUUCUCUGUCCACUAGUUUGUCGCAGCGACAAGAGCUAUCAAAGAAAAAAACUCGCUCAACGAUACUAUUCAAACUCGCUUCUAGUUUCUAGCUCAACUCGUUUCUUGCUAAUCGUCGGCGGUGGUACAAAUGCCUAAAGCGUAUGACAAUUUUCACUAGUAAGUCUAUAUUAUACUUACUUGUCACUUAAAAAUAACCAUAUCCAAAAUUAGAACUAAAGUUUUGAUUCAAUAAAAUCUUAAGAAAAUAAUCGUGGUUUAACAUGAUCUAAGCAAAACGCCAUAAAUUCAGCUAAUUUGUGAGUUUCAUUGGUUAUGCCACUUGCGGGGAGUACCCGUAUGCUGCGUAUCGACGAAGUAACCCGCAAAAAAAUGAGCCAUUUUAAAAAAACUUUUUUUUUGAUAAAUUAAAAAACUCUGUGGUAAUCAAAUCUCUAAACCAAAUUAUUAAGCAACGUUGCCAACUUAGUUUUUUUGGUACUAGUUCUUGUGCAUUUUUGAUAUUUCAGUGCUUAUAAUUCCAUUUUAAGAAUUCCUAGAUUUUUAAGAAUUCCUUCCGCUUACAAAAGAUAGUAAAUAAUAUAUUACAACUCAAGAUAUAAGUAUCAUGCGCCCCGAUACUGUAAAUACUAUAAAAAGGGGCGUCCAAUAAAUCUUACAUAUAACAAAAUAAAGCCCUAUAUCAUAAGUAUUAUUAUAGGGGCGUACGAUACAAUGAAGAGUAAAAGAGAUGUCUAAAUUGAAAUGUUAAACCGGAAAAAAAUUUUUUUUGACUAUUUUCUCUUCCAAACUAUUUUAUUUUCAACGACUUUGCGCAUUUUUUGCAAAAGUAUCACUUUCUAGUGCAUUUCAGAAGUUGGUUUAGUUCAUAUUUUCUUGGAAAGCAGUUGGCAACACUGCAGCCAGAUCUAAAAAUAAAAUGUCAUCUUUUUCACAAUGUAUUCUGCAGACAAGCAUGUAAUCCUCCAUGUUGUUAAGAUAUUUUUGUGUGACAGAAUUACAGUACCCGAUAGGAAAUAUUGUACAUCGAAUUUUAGAAAGUGAUAACGGUUUCGUGGAGCGUUGUCUCAGUCGUUGAGAAUGACUAAACGUCGUAUGAGUGACAGAGACAACGCUCUACGAAGCUGUAAUCUCUUUCUAAAAGUCGAUGUACAAUAUUUCUUGCCGGCUAUAUGAAAUUUGACAUUGGUACCUACUAACUCUGAUCGCAACAAAAUUUUAGAGAAUUCGUAUCUUUUUCUUAUCAAUGUAA